rnacentral:rRNA from 1 species
AUUGAACGCUGGCGGCAGGCCUAACACAUGCAAGUCGAACGGUAACAGGAAGAAGCUUGCUUCUUUGCUGACGAGUGGCGGACGGGUGAGUAAUGUCUGGGAAACUGCCUGAUGGAGGGGGAUAACUACUGGAAACGGUAGCUAAUACCGCAUAACGUCGCAAGACCAAAAAGGGGGAUCUUCGGGCCACUUGCCAUCGGAUGUGCCCAGAUGGGAUUAGCUAGUAGGUGGGGUAACGGCUCACCUAGGCGACGAUCCCUAGCUGGUCUGAGAGGAUGACCAGCCACACUGGAACUGAGACACGGUCCAGACUCCUACGGGAGGCAGCAGUGGGGAAUAUUGCACAAUGGGCGCAAGCCUGAUGCAGCCAUGCCGCGUGUAUGAAGAAGGCCUUCGGGUUGUAAAGUACUUUCAGCGGGGAGGAAGGGAGUAAAGUUAAUACCUUUGCUCAUUGACGUUACCCGCAGAAGAAGCACCGGCUAACUCCGUG